UUCUUGGAGAGUUUGAUCCUGGCUCAGGACGAACGCUGGCGGCGUGCCUAAUACAUGCAAGUCGAGCGAACCAACAGGAGCUUGCUCCUGUUGGUUAGCGGCGGACGGGUGAGUAACACGUGGGCAACCUGCCUGUAAGACUGGGAUAACACCGGGAAACCGGUGCUAAUACCGGAUAAUCCUUUUCCUCUCAUGAGGAAAAGCUGAAAGUCGGUUUCGGCUGACACUUACAGAUGGGCCCGCGGCGCAUU
rnacentral:rRNA from 1 species